rnacentral:rRNA from 1 species
UGGGGAAUAUUGGACAAUGGGGGCAACCCUGAUCCAGCCAUGCCGCGUGAGUGAUGAAGGCCUUCGGGUUGUAAAGCUCUUUUGGCGGGGACGAUGAUGACGGUACCCGCAGAAUAAGCCCCGGCUAACUUCGCGCCAGCAGCCGCGGUAAGACGAAGGGGGCUAGCGUUGUUCGGAAUUACUGGGCGUAAAGCGAGUGUAGGCGGUUGCCGUAGUCAGGUGUGAAAGCCUUGAGCUCAACUCAAGAAAUGCACUUGAUACUGGGUGACUAGAGGACCGGAGAGGAUAGUGGAAUUCCCAGUGUAGUGGUGAAAUACGUAGAGAUUGGGAAGAACACCAGUGGCGAAGGCGGCUAUCUGGACGGUUACUGACGCUAAGACUCGAAAGCGUGGGGAGCAAACAGGAUUAGAUACCCUGGUAGUCCACGCCGUAAACGAUGGGUGCUAGACGUUGGCGAGCUUGCUCGUCAGUGUCGCAGCUAACGCGUUAAGCACCCCGCCUGGGGAGUACGGCCGCAAGGUUGAAACUUAAAUGAAUUGACGGGGGUCAUAGCUGUUU